UGUGGGCUACAAGGCCUGAUAUAGAUUGAGAAGCAGCUCAGGCUGAUGGACAGUGUUAUCGGGAUUGCGCAAUACCACCCAUUUCCUCUUGUACUCACCUGCCUUGACUUUGAUCUUAUGAGGGGAGGAAAGAGGUUGGUAUGAUGUCACUCGGUAUUCGCAGAAUAACUUCCCCUGACAUGUUAAGUCACUCCAUGUCUUUUUAUUCUCUUUUCUUUUACAGCGACCCAAGUUGCAGGCAGCAGCUUCAACUUUCUCCCUGAACCACUCAUCAGCUCUGGAGAGGAUCCCCACCUUCGGGAACCUCAAAAUUUUCUUCAACACAACUCCAGGCAAAGCGGACAGGGUUGGCUCAGAGGAAUAUUUGGUCACAGCUAAAACAACAGAAACAGCGAUAACCGAGGAACAGAACAGCCCAGUGCCUACCCUGGUUAUCCCUCUUCCAUGAUGCUGGAGGUCUUAUUGUUCAUUGAGUCAAUGAAGACCUCAUGCUCACUGAUGAAUCUGAGCCUACCCAUAUGGGACGCAUCCAGACGAGUGCGAUCGUGAAGUACGUUUGCAGUGCCACAUACUGCACAGUCCGGAGUUCUCCAUGCUGCAACGGCAUGCUGCCCGAGUGUGUGCUGCAACGUUUUUCUUUUUUGUAAGUUUUUUUGACCCCUGAAUAUCCACGGGCCUUCCCUGGGGACAAGAAGUGGUGGUGCAAGGUGCACCGCCGCUAGUGGUUCCCGGGGAACCAAACGUCCACGCACAUCUGGACAUGUCCAUGCAGGCCACAAUACCUGCAAAGCCAGACCAGGACCUGAGUGGAAGCCUCUGUGGUCAGUGAUCACACCUAGACGGAACCCACAUAGGAACAGGCUGAGAAAGCUCAUUUUGAUGUCUUCCAGCCAUCCAGCUGAUUCUCCUGCUAGCUCCUCCUUCCUCUUGCUGUUACUCCUAGAAAAUUCCUUCUUUCUCUGUUGCCUCUUCUGCUUAGCAAGGAAGGGUAAAAAAGUGGCUGGACAAACUCCCCAGCACAUUCCCACUCUAAUUCCCAUUUCCUGGUCUUCGUGCCACUAACUCAUGUGUCCUCGUGUCACUUGAGUUCUGCCUAGACAAGUCCCACCUCAUCAUUCACACUGCUACUGGAUGCUAGGCUCAUCAGCCAAGAACCUAAACUGAACCUAAAUCACCAAGCCCAAAGUAGUUAUGAUGCAGCUUUAGUGAGCACUCUGCCAAGCAAUAUACACCAAACUGUAUAAGAAACCAUUACAUAAGGAAUUAUCGUUAGUUAUCCUUAAUAUUAAAAGGGCACGUCUUAACAGCUCUACAGGGCAAAUUCAGAUGAUGUGUGAGUGACUGAAAGUCCAUUGAAGUCAAGCAGUGGGUUCUGAAUUUGACCCCUUCUUUUAUAGAUCUGAAAACAUUUAAAUAUAAAUGAGAAGGGUCAUAGCACUCUUUACAUACAACUCUCUCUAAUUCCCUUAGAAGAUCCCUUUUAAGAAUUUAGGUCAAAUCUCUAUAUUAUAGUUGAUGUGGUUCUUAAGGGAAGUUGAGCAUCAAACCUGAUAUGGUUAUUAUGGGCUCAUCUGGAAAGUGUAGCAUACAAUUUUAUUCUUACCAUGUGGCACUGUAAAGUGAAUAAACAUUGCUCAGACUAAAUUCAAAUCCAAAAAAAAGAAAUGCAGUUGGACUAGAUUGGAAUUAAUCAUUAAAAACUGACAUAACUAUUUUAUAUAACAAGCGCACCUCUGGAUAUCUGUCCAGAUUAUUUGGGUACAGCUAAAGCAUGGCUUUUACAGUUAAAAAAUGAAUGCAGGCCAUUAAUCCACAGAAAUAGUAACUAAAGCACAAGAAAUAAUAUUGGAACAGGUAACUGUAUGAAAAUUUAACCAGAAAAAUAACUUUGGUGAUGCAGCAAUGUCAAUGAAUGUUAUAAUUAAUAAAAUCUUGCAAAUUUACAAGUUUGGAAAAUGUCAAA